GGCACUGCCCGGUAGCUAAAUGCGGAAGAGAUAAGUGCUGAAAGCAUCUAAGCACGAAACUUGCCCCGAGAUGAGUUCUCCCUGAGACUUAGAGUCUCCUGAAGGAACGUUGAAGACGACGACGUUGAUAGGCCGGGUGUGUAAGCGCAGCGAUGCGUUGAGCUAACCGGUACUAAUGAACCGUGAGGCUUAACCUU
rnacentral:rRNA from 1 species